ACACUCCUGCGGGAGGCAGCAGUGGGGAAUAUUGGACAAUGGGCGCAAGCCUGAUCCAGCCAUGCCGCGUGAGUGAUGAAGGCCCUAGGGUUGUAAAGCUCUUUCACCGGUGAAGAUAAUGACGGUAACCGGAGAAGAAGCCCCGGCUAACUUCGUGCCAGCAGCCGCGGUAAUACGAAGGGGGCUAGCGUUGUUCGGAUUUACUGGGCGUAAAGCGCACGUAGGCGGACUAUUAAGUCAGGGGUGAAAUCCCGGGGCUCAACCCCGGAACUGCCUUUGAUACUGGUAGUCUUGAGUUCGAGAGAGGUGAGUGGAAUUCCGGGUGUAGAGGUGAAAUUCGUAGAUAUUCGGAGGAACACCAGUGGCGAAGGCGGCUCACUGGCUCGAUACUGACGCUGAGGUGCGAAAGCGUGGGGAGCAAACAGGAUUAGAUACCCGGGUAGUCCCAUGAU
rnacentral:rRNA from 1 species